AUUGAACGCUGGCGGCAUGCCUUACACAUGCAAGUCGAACGGUAACAGGUCUUCGGAUGCUGACGAGUGGCGAACGGGUGAGUAAUACAUCGGAACGUGCCCGAUCGUGGGGGAUAACGCAGCGAAAGCUGUGCUAAUACCGCAUACGAUCUACGGAUGAAAGCGGGGGAUCGCAAGACCUCGCGCGGACGGAGCGGCCGAUGGCAGAUUAGGUAGUUGGUGGGAUAAAAGCUUACCAAGCCAACGAUCUGUAGCUGGUCUGAGAGGACGACCAGCCACACUGGAACUGAGACACGGUCCAGACUCCUACGGGAGGCAGCAGUGGGGAAUUUUGGACAAUGGGCGCAAGCCUGAUCCAGCCAUUCCGCGUGCAGGACGAAGGCCUUCGGGUUGUAAACUGCUUUUGUACGGAACGAAAAGCCCUUACUUCCAAUUACAGAGGGGUCAUGAGGUACCGUAAGAAUAAGCACCGGCUAACUACGUGCCCAGCAGCCGUAC
rnacentral:rRNA from 1 species